rnacentral:rRNA from 1 species
AGUGAACGCUGGCGGUAGGCCUAACACAUGCAAGUCGAACGGCAGCACAGUAAGAGCUUGCUCUUACGGGUGGCGAGUGGCGGACGGGUGAGGAAUACAUCGGAAUCUACUUUUUCGUGGGGGAUAACGUAGGGAAACUUACGCUAAUACCGCAUACGACCUACGGGUGAAAGCAGGGGAUCUUCGGACCUUGCGCGAUUGAAUGAGCCGAUGUCGGAUUAGCUAGUUGGCGGGGUAAAGGCCCACCAAGGCGACGAUCCGUAGCUGGUCUGAGAGGAUGAUCAGCCACACUGUGACUGAGACACGGUCCAGACUCCUACGGGAGGCAGCAGUGGGGAAUAUUGGACAAUGGGCGCAAGCCUGAUCCAGCCAUACCGCGUGGGUGAAGAAGGCCUUCGGGUUGUAAAGCCCUUUUGUUGGGAAAGAAAAGCAGCAGGUUAAUACCCCGCUGUUCUGACGGUACCCAAAGAAUAAGCACCGGCUAACUUCGUG